UCAGUGAAUAAAGGGAUGAAUUAGUAACCAAGAGUUCAGGCAUUCACGUGGAAUUUAUUUUUGAGCAAGAGGCCUCCCGGUGUUACCUAAAUCUUACCUCACAAAUGACUACUUACUCCACCUGGCCUCACCCCACCAAGUAAAUGGUAGGGAAAGGGAUGAUUUUGGCAUUUGACUACUGUUUUUCCAUUUUGGGCACUCUUAAGUAAAUUGGUUUGCAACAACUAGGGGAGGGCUCAGGUUGAAGAAUGAAGCAAUAGUGAAUGAGUGGUAGGCACCCGAGCACAUCGGACCAGAGACCACUGAGUGUCUCAGCCCGGGUGCCUCUGUAUCCAGCUGGUAUCUGUGUUCCCCUCCCAAACACACAGGCAAGCCUCAGAUGCCAGGCAGAACACAGCUCCCAGUUUCCCUAGUCUUCGUGAAAAGUUGGAAGGUAUAGUUUUCCAUUGGCCGAUCUGUAAGGUAAUAACAAGAUGCUAUGUUCGUCACUCAGGUACAGGAGAGACAGAAGGGAAGAUGGUCUGAGACUGACCACAAAGGGGAAGAAAGGUGACCUUGAAGAAGGCCGCUUCCUUCCAAGGGCUCAUCCUCCUGCCUGGUAGGCAGUCCAGCCUGGAGCGUCCCAAUCUCCAAGUCUACCCUUGUCGCAUUCUUGCUGUCUGUCACCCACGUGCAGCUGCGUGGAGGUGACGCACGACCCCCUGCUGUCUCUGUGUAAACCGAAAGUGCCAUUCUGAGCACUCCCUCCCAGCUAGAAUCCGGUGCUCUCAUUUUACAGCUCUCAGCCCUAUCAACUGUUUUCAUCUCAACGUGAUUUUACGCCCGUAGCUUGGACCUGGUGCUUUGCACUUCGAGACGCAGUACCUGGAGAGUGUUUAUGCCUCACUAACAUUUCCAAACUACACCAUCAAAAAAAUAAGUCGAGGAAAAACAGUUUAGCUUGGUUUAGCAUCUGCCGCUUUCUAAAGAGGACAAGGACUUCUUUCCACCCCGGCACGGCCCUUUGAGCGGGGCGGUGCUGCUCUCCACAUUUUAUGGCUGAGGCAAGUGAGGCGCUGGAGAGUUAAAAAACGUACCCAAGGUGACGUGCCGGGUUUACGUGAGUAACAGGACGCAAACAGAACGCAGCUGGGGAGCCAGGCACAGCGGACAGCAAGGCAAAGGAUCCCCACUUCCUGCAACCUGAGAAAUGGAGACAGUGCCCCUGGCAGAAGACGCAGCCCUGCGCUUCCUCUCCUUCUCGCCAGCGCCCUCCCGGCUCCAGACUUGAAGCAUCAUAGGAUUUUUUUUUUUCAACAGGACCCCUUUUAUUCUGCUUGGAACCAAUUUUAUAAAAAAAAAAAAAAACACUUUUCCUGGAGGUUUUAGAACCAGCAGCUGUUGCCAGGGUCAGCCAACAAUGAUGUUCAAGCCGUAGCCUCCCUUCACCCCUAGGGGAGAGGGCAGGGUGGACAGUGACUCAUCAGAACCGGGAGGUGGGGAGAGCUGGGCAGCGUGACCCCGGGUGUUUGUCUGAGGUUCCCAGUCCUGUCCUCCACGGAGCGAUGAGCAGAGGCCAAAGCUGUGGCCUGCGCCCUAGCCCCAAAGGGGCUUCCUCCUAGACCUGAGGCUUGGAUAGAAUCCCAGCUUUAAA